GAUGAACGCUGGCGGCGUGCCUAAUACAUGCAAGUCGAGCGAACAGACGAGAAGCUUGCUCCUCUGACGUUAGCGGCGGACGGGUGAGUAACACGUGGAUAACCUACCUAUAAGACUGGGAUAACUUCGGGAAACCGGAGCUAAUACCGGAUAAUAUAUUGAACCGCAUGGUUCAAUAGUGAAAGACGGUUUUGCUGUCACUUAUAGAUGGAUCCGCGCCGCAUUAGCUAGUUGGUAAGGUAACGGCUUACCAAGGCAACGAUGCGUAGCCGACCUGAGAGGGUGAUCGGCCACACUGGAACUGAGACACGGUCCAGACUCCUACGGGAGGCAGCAGUAGGGAAUCUUCCGCAAUGGGCGAAAGCCUGACGGAGCAACGCCGCGUGAGUGAUGAAGGUCUUCGGAUCGUAAAACUCUGUUAUUAGGGAAGAACAAAUGUGUAAGUAACUAUGCACGUCUUGACGGUACCUAAUCAGAAAGCCACGGCUAACUACGUG
rnacentral:rRNA from 1 species